UUGAACGCUGGCGGCAUGCUUUACACAUGCAAGUCGAACGGCAGCGGGGGCUUCGGCCUGCCGGCGAGUGGCGAACGGGUGAGUAAUGCAUCGGAACGUACCCAGUCGUGGGGGAUAACUACGCGAAAGCGUAGCUAAUACCGCAUACGUCCUGAGGGAGAAAGCGGGGGCUCGCAAGACCUCGCGCGAUUGGAGUGGCCGAUAUCAGAUUAGCUAGUUGGUGGGGUAAAAGCUUACCAAGGCGACGAUCUGUAGCUGGUCUGAGAGGACGACCAGCCACACUGGAACUGAGACACGGUCCAGACUCCUACGGGAGGCAGCAGUGGGGAAUUUUGGACAAUGGGCGCAAGCCUGAUCCAGCAAUGCCGCGUGCAGGAUGAAGGCCUUCGGGUUGUAAACUGCUUUUGUACGGAGCGAAACGGCUCUUUCUAAUAAAGAGAGCUAAUGACGGUACCGUAAGAAUAAGCACCGGCUAACUACGU
rnacentral:rRNA from 1 species